AGAGUUUGAUCCUGGCUCAGGAUAAACGCUGGCGGCGCACAUAAGACAUGCAAGUCGAACGGAAGUCGUUACGAAAUGGAAUGAAGAUUUAUCUGAUUGAAGUUUUGUAACAAUGGCUUUAGUGGCGGACUGGUGAGUAACACGUAAGCAAUCUACCUAUUAGAGGGGAAUAACAAUGAGAAAUCAUUGCUAAUACCGCAUAAGCUUGUAGUACCGCAUGGUACAGCAAGAAAAGGAGCAAUCCGCUAAUAGAUGAGCUUGCGGCUGAUUAGCUAGUUGGUGUGGUAACGGCAUACCAAGGCAACGAUCAGUAGCCGGGCUGAGAGGCUCUUCGGCCACAUUGGGACUGAGAUACGGCCCAGACUCCUACGGGAGGCAGCAGUCGGGAAUUUUGCGCAAUGGAGGAAACUCUGACGCAGUGACGCCGCGUAUAGGAAGAAGGUUUUCGGAUUGUAAACUAUUUUAGUCAGGGAAGAAAAAUGACAGUACCUGAAGAAUAAGCUCCGGCUAACUACGUGCCAGCAGCCGCGGU
rnacentral:rRNA from 1 species